rnacentral:rRNA from 1 species
CCUACGGGAGGCAGCAGUGAGGAAUAUUGGUCAAUGGACGAGAGUCUGAACCAGCCAAGUAGCGUGAAGGAUGACUGCCCUAUGGGUUGUAAACUUCUUUUAUAAAGGAAUAAAACGAGGCACGUGUGCCUUUUUGCAUGUACUUUAUGAAUAAGGAUCGGCUAACUCCGUGCCAGCAGCCGCGGUAAUACGGAGGAUCCGAGCGUUAUCCGGAUUUAUUGGGUUUAAAGGGAGCGUAGAUGGGUUGUUAAGUCAGUUGUGAAAGUUUGCGGCUCAACCGUAAAAUUGCAAUUGAUAAUGGCAGUCGUGAGUACAGUUGAGGUAGGCGGAAUUCGUGGUGUAGCGGUGAAAUGCUUAGAUAUCACGAAGAACCCCGAUUGCGAAGGCAGCUUACUAAACUGUGACUGACAUUGAUGCUCGAAAGUGUGGGUAUCAAACAGGAUUAGAUACCCUUGUAGUC